rnacentral:rRNA from 1 species
AGUGAACGCUGGCGGUAGGCCUAACACAUGCAAGUCGAACGGCAGCACAGUAAGAGCUUGCUCUUACGGGUGGCGAGUGGCGGACGGGUGAGGAAUACAUCGGAAUCUACUUUUUCGUGGGGGGUAACGUAGGGAAACUUACGCUAAUACCGCAUACGACCUACGGGUGAAAGCAGGGGAUCUUCGGACCUUGCGCGAUUGAAUGAGCCGAUGUCGGAUUAGCUAGUUGGCGGGGUAAAGGCCCACCAAGGCGACGAUCCGUAGCUGGUCUGAGAGGAUGAUCAGCCACACUGGAACUGAGACACGGUCCAGACUCCUACGGGAGGCAGCAGUGGGGAAUAUUGGACAAUGGGCGCAAGCCUGAUCCAGUCAUACCGCGUGGGUGAAGAAGGCCUUCGGGUUGUAAAGCCCUUUUGUUGGGAAAGAAAAGCAGCAGGUUAAUACCCCGCUGUCCUGACGGUACCCAAAGAAUAAGCACCGGCUAACUUCGUG